GUGGGGAAUAUUGCACAAUGGGCGGAAGCCUGAUGCAGCGACGCCGCGUGAGGGAUGACGGCCUUCGGGUUGUAAACCUCUUUCAGCAGGGACGAAGCGCAAGUGACGGUACCUGCAGAAGAAGCGCCGGCCAACUACGUGCCAGCAGCCGCGGUAAGACGUAGGGCGCGAGCGUUGUCCGGAUUUAUUGGGCGUAAAGAGCUCGUAGGCGGCUUGUCGCGUCGACUGUGAAAACCCGCGGCUCAACCGCGGGCCUGCAGCCGAUACGGGCAGGCUAGAGUUCGGUAGGGGAGACUGGAAUUCCUGGUGUAGCGGUGAAAUGCGCAGAUAUCAGGAGGAACACCGGUGGCGAAGGCGGGUCUCUGGGCCGAUACUGACGCUGAGGAGCGAAAGCGUGGGGAGCGAACAGGAUUAGAAACCCUAGUAGUCC
rnacentral:rRNA from 1 species